rnacentral:rRNA from 1 species
CUUUACUGUAGCUUUGCAUUGGACUUUGAUGAGACUUGUGUAGGAUAGGUGGGAGGCACUGAUGCGCGGAUGCUAGUUCGCGCGGAGCCAACCUUGAAAUACCACCCUGGUGUCAUUGAGGUUCUAACCUAGGCCCGUGAAUCCGGGUCGGGGACCGUGCAUGGUAGGCAGUUUGACUGGGGCGGUCUCCUCCCAAAGCGUAACGGAGGAGUACGAAGGUACGCUAGGUACGGUCGGACAUCGUGCUAAUAGUGCAAUGGCAUAAGCGUGCUUGACUGCGAGACUGACACGUCGAGCAGGUGCGAAAGCAGGUCAUAGUGAUCCGGUGGUUCUGUAUGGAAGGGCCAUCGCUCAACGGAUAAAAGGUA